AGCGAACGCUGGCGGCAGGCCUAACACAUGCAAGUCGAGCGGAGAUGAGGUGCUUGCACCUUAUCUUAGCGGCGGACGGGUGAGUAAUGCUUAGGAAUCUGCCUAUUAGUGGGGGACAACAUUCCGAAAGGAAUGCUAAUACCGCAUACGUCCUACGGGAGAAAGCAGGGGAUCUUCAGACCUUGCGCUAAUAGAUGAGCCUAAGUCGGAUUAGCUAGUUGGUGGGGUAAAGGCCUACCAAGGCGACGAUCUGUAGCGGGUCUGAGAGGAUGAUCCGCCACACUGGGACUGAGACACGGGCCAGACUCCUACGGGAGGCAGCAGUGGGGAAUAUUGGACAAUGGGGGGAACCCUGAUCCAGCCAUGCCGCGUGUGUGAAGAAGGCCUUAUGGUUGUAAAGCACUUUAAGCGAGGAGGAGGCUACUGAGACUAAUACUCUUGGAUAGUGGACGUUACUCGCAGAAUAAGCACCGGCUAACUCUGUGCCAGCCGCCGCGGUAAAAC
rnacentral:rRNA from 1 species